GAAAUUGAAUGUUAUUUACUAACUUAUGAAUUUAGUUUACUUCCUUGUAAAUCUUAAAAUGGAAUUCUAUUCUCUUUUUUAAUUGUGGGUGUGAAACAGGAGCUGAGAAAAUUAUGGAAUCAAGUUCAAUUAUGCCUCUAAACUUUUUGGAGAUGUUCAAUUAUGCCCAAAAUGAGCUAUUUGUCUCAAUUAACCCACACAUUUCUAUUCAAGUUCAAAUUGGCUCAAUUUUUGGCC
rnacentral:misc_RNA from 1 species